rnacentral:rRNA from 1 species
GCAGUCGAGCGAACUGAUUAGAAGCUUGCUUCUAUGACGUUAGCGGCGGACGGGUGAGUAACACGUGGGCAACCUGCCUGUAAGACUGGGAUAACUCCGGGAAACCGGAGCUAAUACCGGAUAACAUUUUCUCUUGCAUAAGAGAAAAUUGAAAGAUGGUUUCGGCUAUCACUUACAGAUGGGCCCGCGGUGCAUUAGCUAGUUGGUGAGGUAACGGCUCACCAAGGCAACGAUGCAUAGCCGACCUGAGAGGGUGAUCGGCCACACUGGGACUGAGACACGGCCCAGACUCCUACGGGAGGCAGCAGUAGGGAAUCUUCCGCAAUGGACGAAAGUCUGACGGAGCAACGCCGCGUGAGUGAUGAAGGCUUUCGGGUCGUAAAACUCUGUUGUUAGGGAAGAACAAGUACAAGAGUAACUGCUUGUACCUUGACGGUACCUAACCAGAAAGCCACGGCUAACUACGUGCCAGCAGCCGCGGUAAUACGUAGGUGGCAAGCGUUAUCCGGAAUUAUUGGGCGUAAAGCGCGCGCAGGCGGUUUCUUAAGUCUGAUGUGAAAGCCCACGGCUCAACCGUGGAGGGUCAUUGGAAACUGGGGAACUUGAGUGCAGAAGAGAAAAGCGGAAUUCCACGUGUAGCGGUGAAAUGCGUAGAGAUGUGGAGGAACACCAGUGGCGAAGGCGGCUUUUUGGUCUGUAACUGACGCUGAGGCGCGAA